rnacentral:lncRNA from 1 species
AUAUGACUCCGAAUAUGGAAUGAUGUCAAAUUCAAUAUCAUACUCAUAUUUCUCUCAAUCUUAUAUGAUGAUUCAAUUAAUGAAAUACUAAAAACUCUUUCUAAUUUUUAUUCUACUUUUGUUGCUCCUAGAUUGAUUUUGAUGAUUACAAAGCAGAUUGAAGGGAUACAAAUAUUUUUAUUUGAAAAAGUCUUUAUGCUCUUCAGGGGCAAAAUUGUAAUUUUACUAAAAUCUUGAUUUGAUAGUAUCAUUUAGUAGAAUAAGUGAUUUGUAAUCUAUUGGUAAAAAUUUUAUUAUUUUUGGACUUAUAUUUUUGAAGUUAUGAAUGUUUGAAGUGCAUGAGUCGACUCAUGAGUCAACUCAUGGCACAAUGAGCUGCUUGGCACGCUAAAAUUUCCCUUGGCAUGCUGGUUUUUUGGCUUGGCACAACCUGUGAGUCGACUCAUGAGUCGACCCACAAGGCAUGAGUCGACUCAUGAGUCGACUUCUGCUGUUUUGGGCCAAAAUAUCCAGAAACCCAAAUCUCUGGUUUUUGCAACAGAGGUCGACUCAUGAGUCGACCCC